AGCGCCGCCCCGGCUGGUCCCGCGGGGGGCGGGGGUGGAAAAUGAGGGGAAAAUGGAAAGCGUUUCCCGCCGAAGUGCGCUGCUGGCGGCCGAGAGGUGAUAAUUGCGUAUCUUGGCACUACAAAGCUAAGGCUUCAGACGUGAAUGUUCUAACUUCUUGGGCCUUCCGUACCCCAAACCUAAGCCGAGAAAGGACUGAAGCACUCUGGAAGCCAUCUCUGCCGAAAAAAAAAGACUGCAGAUUUGUGAUACUUCCGUGAGCAUGUAGGUCAGCAGGAAUCUCCGCAUCUGUAAGUCUGGGUAGUGCUUCAUGUAUUUACUUGUAUAAUUCUAUUGAAGGUAAACCAGUACUCUAGGAAGGAUAUGUUACAGAAUUGUAAAUAAAAUAAGUCUUGGAC